rnacentral:rRNA from 1 species
UACGAAGGGGGCUAGCGUUGCUCGGAAUCACUGGGCGUAAAGGGUGCGUAGGCGGGUCUUUAAGUCAGGGGUGAAAUCCUGGAGCUCAACUCCAGAACUGCCUUUGAUACUGAGGAUCUUGAGUUCGGGAGAGGUGAGUGGAACUGCGAGUGUAGAGGUGAAAUUCGUAGAUAUUCGUAAGAACACCAGUGGCGAAGGCGGCUCACUGGCCCGAUACUGACGCUGAGGAGCGAAAGCGUGGGGAGCGAACAGG